GAUGAACGCUGACAGAAUGCUUAACACAUGCAAGUCAACUUGAACUUCGGUUUGGGUGGCGGACGGGUGAGUAACGCGUAAAGAACUUGCCUCACAGAUAGGGACAACAUUUGGAAACGAAUGCUAAUACCUGAUAUUAUGAUUAUAUGGCAUCGUAUAAUUAUGAAAGCUAUAUGCGCUGUGAGAGAGCUUUGCGUCCCAUUAGCUAGUUGGAGAGGUAACGGCUCACCAAGGCGAUGAUGGGUAGCCGGCCUGAGAGGGUGAUCGGCCACAAGGGGACUGAGACACGGCUCUUACUCCUACGGGAGGCAGCAGUGGGGAAUAUUGGACAAUGGACCAAGAGUCUGAUCCAGCAAUUCUGUGGGCACGAUGAAGUUUGUCGGAAUGUAAAGUGCUUUCAGUUGGGAAGAAAAAAAGGACGGUACCAACAGAAGAAGUGACGGCUAAAUACGUG
rnacentral:rRNA from 1 species